rnacentral:rRNA from 1 species
AUCUGCCCACUGAUAAAUUUUAAAGGGCUGCAGUAUUUUGACUGUACAAAGGUAGCAUAAUCAAUAGUCUCUUAAUUGGUGACUUGUAUGAAAGAUUGGAUGAGAUAUAUACUGUCUCUAAUUAAUUUAUAGAAUUUAAUUUUUUAGUAAAAAAGCUAAAAUAAGUUUAAAAGACGAGAAGACCCUAUAGAGUUUAAUAAUUUAUUUAAUUAUUAUUAAUAUAUAAUUUUUAAAAUUAAAAUUAAAUAGAUUAUUUUGUUGGGGUGAUAGAAAAAUUAAAUUAACUUUUUUUUGUUAUUUACAUUAAUUUAUGAUUAAGUGAUCCAUUUAUAAUGAUUAAAAGAAAAAAUUACCUUAGGGAUAACAGCGUAAUUUUUUUUUUUAGUUCAAAUAGGAAAAAAAGUUUGCGACCUCGAUGUUGGAUUAAGAUAAAAUUUAAAUGCAAAAGUUUAAAAUUUUGAUCUGUUCGAUCAUUAAAAUCUU